rnacentral:rRNA from 1 species
GACGAACGCUGGCGGCGUGCCUAAUACAUGCAAGUAGAACGCUGAAGGAGGAGCUUGCUUCUCUGGAUGAGUUGCGAACGGGUGAGUAACGCGUAGGUAACCUGCCUGGUAGCGGGGGAUAACUAUUGGAAACGAUAGCUAAUACCGCAUAAGAGUAGAUGUUGCAUGACAUUUGCUUAAAAGGUGCAAUUGCAUCACUACCAGAUGGACCUGCGUUGUAUUAGCUAGUUGGUGGGGUAACGGCUCACCAAGGCGACGAUACAUAGCCGACCUGAGAGGGUGAUCGGCCACACUGAGACUGAGACACGGCCCAGACUCCUACGGGAGGCAGCAGUAGGGAAACUUCGGCAAUCGACGGAAGUCUGACCGAGCAACGCCGCGUGAGUGAAGAAGGUUUUCGGAUCGUAAAGCUCUGUUGUAAGAGAAGAACGAGUGUGAGAGUGGAAAGUUCACACUGUGACGGUAUCUUACCAGAAAGGGACGGCUAACUACGUG